rnacentral:rRNA from 1 species
AGAGUUUGAUCCUGGCUCAGAACGAACGCUGGCGGCGUGCCUAACACAUGCAAGUCGUACGAGAAAAUCCGCUUCGGCGGGUGAGUAGAGUGGCGCACGGGUGAGUAACGCGUGGAUAAUCUGCCUUUAAGCUGGGAAUAACUCACCGAAAGGUGGGCUAAUACCCGAUAAUGCUAUGGGACUUCGGUUUUAUAGCCAAAGAGAGCCUCUACAUGUAAGCCUUCACUUAAAGAUGAGUCCGCGUACCAUUAGCUAGUUGGUAGGGUAAUGGCCUACCAAGGCGACGAUGGUUAGCUGGUCUGAGAGGAUGAUCAGCCACACUGGAACUGAGACACGGUCCAGACUCCUACGGGAGGCAGCAGUGAGGAAUAUUGCGCAAUGGGGGCAACCCUGACGCAGCAACGCCGCGUGAGUGAGGAAGGUCUUCGGAUCGUAAAGCUCUGUCGGGUGGGAAGAAGUGUGCAUAGGUUAAUAGCUUGCGCACUUGACGGUACCGCCAAAGGAAGCACCGGCUAACUCCGUGCCAGCAGCCGCGGUAAUACGGGGGGUGCGAGCGUUGUUCGGAAUCAUUGGGCGUAAAGAGCGUGUAGGCGGCUAGGCAAGUCAGAUGUGAAAUCCCUGGGCUUAACCCAGGAAGUGCAUUUGAAACUGCUUAGCUUGAGUAAGGAAGAGGGAAGUGGAAUUCCUGGUGUAGAGGUGAAAUUCGUAGAUAUCAGGAGGAACACCGGUGGCGAAGGCGACUUCCUGGUCCUAUACUGACGCUGAGACGCGAGAGCGUGGGGAGCAAACAGGAUUAGAUACCCUGGUAGUCCACGCCGUAAACGAUGUUCAAUAGGUGUUGAGGGGUAUUGACCCCCUUCCGUGCCAAACUCAAAGGCUUUAAGGUGAUUGCUUGGUGGUU